GGCCCCGUGGCGGAGCGGUUACGCAGGGGAGUGCAAAUCUCUAUAGCUUGGUUCGAAUCCAAGCGGGGCCUCCA
rnacentral:tRNA from 1 species